rnacentral:misc_RNA from 1 species
UCCCCGUUAACCGGGGCAGUCCCCCUAGAGUUCCCGGCCUGACCCGUUGGCAACUAGGGGCGAGGGUUGCGCUCGUUGCGGGACUUAACCCAACAUCUCACGGCACGAGCUGACGACAGCCAUGCAGCACCUGUGCUGGCCCCUUACGGACACGGACUUUCAUCCGCUUUAACCAGCAUGUCAAGCCCUGGUAAGGUUCUGCGCGUUGCUUCGAAUUAAACCACAUGCUCCACCGCUUGUGCAGGCCCCCGUCAAUUUCUUUGAGUUUUAACCUUGCGGCCGUACUCCCCAGGCGGAUGACUUAACGCGUUAGCUGCGCCACCGAAACCCUAAGGGCCCCGACAGCUAGUCAUCAUCGUUUACGGCGUGGACUAC